rnacentral:rRNA from 1 species
CUACGGGUGGCAGCAGUGGGGAAUAUUGGGCAAUGGGCGCAAGCCUGACCCAGCAACGCCGCGUGAGGGAAGAAUGUCUUCGGAUUGUAAACCUCUGUCCUUGAGGACGAAAAAAAUGACGGUACCCAAGGAGGAAGCUCCGGCUAACUACGUGCCAGCAGCCGCGGUAAUACGUAGGGAGCAAGCGUUGUCCGGAAUUAUUGGGCGUAAAGGGUGCGUAGGCGGCGCUGUAAGUCAGAUGUGAAAUCCCCGGGCUUAACUCGGGAGUUGCAUUUGAAACUACAGUGCUUGAGUAAAGAAGGGGUAAGUGGAAUUCCUAGUGUAGCGGUGGUAUGCGUAGAUAUUAGGAGGAACACCAGUGGCGAAGGCGACUUACUGGUCUUUUACUGACGCUGAGGCACGAAAGCGUGGGGAGCAAACAGGAUUAGAUACCCGCGUAGUC